rnacentral:lncRNA from 1 species
GGUUAUACAAGUGAGUCCUGUUCAGCGUGGGAGGAAAUAACACAAGAGGCAAAGAUCACUCGGGACCACCUUGUAUAUUGGCUACCACAGAACCCAACACAAGCAUUCAGUUCUAUGUCAACAUUCCAAGAAAAUCCAGACUGAGCCUCCUCCUCACCAGUGCUCCUGUCUAGUCCUGGAGGCAGGGGACCUGCUCUGGAAUCUCAGCUCAUGCAGCAAGUACCCGGAUGACUUUAGGCAAAUCAUGUCACCUCGCUAGAUCUCCCUCUCUUCCUCUGGUACAUGGGGCAUCCAUACCUGCCUCACCAGCACUGCAAUGAAUGCUGCUGCACACGCUGUUGAGCUCGUGGACACUUUCCUGCUGGGUGAGGACCCGAACGUGAAAUUGCUGGGUCAUGGAUUCAAGUGCUACACAUAUUUUUGACCACAUUACUGUGACUCAGGAAGCCCAGGAACAGAAUUCUAGGCACCAGAACCAUACAUGUUACAGCCUCUGAGCUUUAUGGCCUCUGAGCCAUUUGUCCAGCCACAUCAUUUGCAGAUGAGAUCCUGAGACUCAGGCUGGAAAAGUGACCGGGGAAAAGUCACACAAGUCAGAGGCAGAGCUGGAGUUUCCUCAUUUCCAGGCCCGUAUAGAUCAAGACGGACGUUGGUCAAACACCUCCUAGUACUCACAUGAAGAAGCUCUCCUUUCUGCUGUAGGAAUGAUCACACACCAUUCCAAUCUGGAUACCAAAUGUCAUUGUUUAUUAAAUGUGUGCAGUGUGCC